CCUACGUGUGUCAGCAGUGAGUAAUAUUGGUCAAUGGACGCAAGUCUGAACCAGCCAUGCCGCGUGCAGGAAGACGGCUCUAUGAGUUGUAAACUGCUUUUGUACGAGGGUAAAUCCCGAUACGCGUCUCGGGUUGAAAGUAUCGUACGAAUAAGGCUCGGCUAACUCCGUGCCAGCAGCCGCGGUAAUACGGAGGAUGCAAGCGUUAUCCGGAUUUCUUGGGUUUAAAGGGUGCUUAGGCGGUUCGAUAAGGUAGAGGUUAAAUCCCAGGGCUCAACUCCGGCACUGCCUCUGAAACUGGCGGGCUAGAGUUGAGUUGCAGUAGGCGGAAUGUAUGGUGUAGCGGUGAAAUGCAUAGAGAUCAUACAGAACACCGAUUGCGAAGGCAGCUUACCAAACUACGACUGACGUUGAGGCACGAAAGCGUGGGGAGCAAACAGGAUUAGAUACCCGAGUAGUC
rnacentral:rRNA from 1 species